UUAAGCUGUUGGUUUUGAGCAGAUUAUAACAGACGUUCCUUACCUGCAGAGGACAUUCUCACACACAGAGCACUCCUGCACCAGUAGAACUCUUCCACGAUGGAUCCACCUGUGAAUUCCGAACUGAAAAAAGACAUUAUCAAUUUUAAAAGGAAAAGUCUGACGCCGUCUGAAACAAUAACAAAAAAUAUACAGCCAACCAAAGAAGAUAUUGAGCAGGAGAAGAAGGAAAUACAAGAAUGCAAGAAGUAACCAAGCAACGUCCGCCAUGAUUUCACCAUGAUGAAUCCUGCUCUGUCACCUGCUCACACUCCAGCUUAAAAUCAUGUCCAUCAUCUUCACCCUUCUUCCUGUUUUCCAUGCUGCCAUGUUUGACUAAAUGGUGUUUGGGUUGAUGCAAUGGGAAAAUAUGUCUGUCCUAAGUCACUUGGGUGUUGGAUCAAUAGAUGUAUUUUAUUGUGCUUUUUUUCCUAUGUGGUAUAUUAAGGAUUGAAAAUGAAAAUAUAAAUAUUUGAUUAAAAAAAACAGUGUAUAAAUGGAAAAUUGUCACAAAAAAAAAAUCCUUCAUCCCUCAUUGUUAAAAAUACCAUAUGCCUGGUAUGCCUGGGAGUGGUGCCAAAAAACCUUUUUAAUAAAAUGAAUUGCUUGAGCUGCA